rnacentral:antisense_RNA from 1 species
CUUAAUUGAGCCCAACCACAAAGUCUCAUCCGAAUCUCGCUCUUGCCCAUAGGUUGCCAACAACGCCUGCGCCUC